GUGCUCGCUUUGGCAGCACAUCUGCUAAAACUGGAAUGAUACAGAGAAGAUUAAUAUGGCUCCCAUGCAAGGAUGAUAUGCAAAUUUGUGAAGCAUUCCAUAUUUUU
rnacentral:snRNA from 2 species